rnacentral:rRNA from 1 species
AUUGAACGCUGGCGGCAGGCCUAACACAUGCAAGUCGAACGGUAGCACAGAGAGCUUGCUCUUGGGUGACGAGUGGCGGACGGGUGAGUAAUGUCUGGGAAACUGCCCGAUGGAGGGGGAUAACUACUGGAAACGGUAGCUAAUACCGCAUAACGUCUUCGGACCAAAGUGGGGGACCUUCGGGCCUCACACCAUCGGAUGUGCCCAGAUGGGAUUAGCUAGUAGGUGGGGUAAAGGCUCACCUAGGCGACGAUCCCUAGCUGGUCUGAGAGGAUGACCAGCCACACUGGAACUGAGACACGGUCCAGACUCCUACGGGAGGCAGCAGUGGGGAAUACUGCACAAUGGGCGCAAGCCUGAUGCAGCCAUGCCGCGUGUAUGAAGAAGGCCUUCGGGCUGUAAAGUACUUUCAGCGGGGAGGAAGGCGUUAAGGUUAAUAACCUUGGCGAUUGACGUUACCCGCAGAAGAAGCACCGGCUAACUCCGUGCCAGCAGCCGCCGUAA